rnacentral:rRNA from 1 species
AUUGAACGCUGGCGGCAGGCCUAACACAUGCAAGUCGAGCGGAGCGGCGGACGGGCGAGUAAUGCCUAGGUAUCUGCCUGGUCGUUGGGGAUAACGUCCCGUAACGGGCGCUAAUCUCGCAUACUAUCAGAUGAGCCUAGUUCGGAUUAGCGAGUUGGUGGGGUAAAGGCCUACCAAGGCGACGAUCCGUAACUGGUCUGAGAGGAUGAUCAGUCACACUGGAACUGAGACACGGUCCAGACUCCUACGGGAGGCAGCAGUGGGGAAUAUUGGACAAUGGGCGAAAGCCUGAUCCAGCCAUGCCGCGUGUGUGAAGAAGGUCUUCGGAUUGUAAAGCACUUUAAGUUGGGAAGCGUUACCAACAGAAUAAGCACCGGCUAACUACGUGCCAGCAGCCGCGGUAAUAC